AGUUCGAUCAUAGCUCAGAUUGAACGCUGGCGGGAUGCUUUACACAUGCAAGUCGGGCGGCAGCACGGACUUCGGUCUGGUGGCGAGUGGCGAACGGGUGAGUAAUGUAUCGGAACGUGCCUAGUAGCGAGGAUAACUACGCGAAAGCGUAGCUAAUACCACAUACGCCCUUCGGGGAAAGCGGGGACCUUCCGGGCCUCGCACUAUUAGAGCGGCCGAUAUCGGAUUAGCUAGUUGGUGGGAGUAACGGCUCACCAAAGGCGACGAUCCGUAGCUGGUUUGAGAGGACGACCAGCCACACUGGGACUGAGACACGGCCCAGACUCCUACGGGAGGCAGCAGUGGGGAAUUUUGGACAAUGGGGAAACCCUGAUCCAGCCAUCCCGCGUGUGCGAUGAAGGCCUUCAGGUUUGUAAAGCACUUUUGGCAGGAAAGAAACGGCACGGGAUAAUACCCCGUGCAACUGACGGUACCUGCAGAAUAAGCACCGGCUAACUACUGAUGCCAGCAGCCGCGGUAACCGUAAGGGUGCAAGCGUUAAUCGGAAUUACUGGGCGUAAAGCGUGCGCAGGCGGUUCGGAAAGAAAAUGUAAAAUCCAGAGCUUAACUUUGGAACUGCAUUUUUUAACUACCGAGCUAGAGUGUGUCAAGAGGAGGUGGAAUUCCGCCGAUAAUAGCAGUGAAAUGCGUAGAUAUGCGGAGGAACACCGAUGGCGAAGGCAGCCUCCUGGGAUAACACUGACGCUCAUGCACCGAAAGCGUGGGAGCAAACAGGAUUAGAUACCCUGGUAGUCCACGCCCUAAACGAUGUCAACUAGCUGUUGGGGCCUUCGGGCCUUGGUAGCGCAGCUAACGCGUGAAGUUGACCGCGGAAGUACGGUCGCAAGAUUAAAACUCAAAGGAAUUGACGGGGACCCGCACAAGCGGUGGAUGAUGUGGAUUAAUUCGAUGCAACGCGAAAAACCUUACCUACCCUUGACAUGUCUGGAAUCCCGAAGAGAUUUGGGAGUGCUCGCAAGAGAACCGGAACACAGGUGCUGCAUGGCUGUCGUCAGCUCGUGUCGUGAGAUGUUGGGUUAAGUCCCGCAACGAGGCGCAACCCUUGUCAUUAGUUGCUACGAAGGGCACUCUAAUGAGACUGCCGGUGACAAACCGGAGGAAGGUGGGGAUGACGUCGAGUCCUCAUGGCCCUUAUGGGUAGGGCUUCACACGUCAUACAAUGGUCGGGACAGAGGGUCGCCAACCCGCGAGGGGAGAGCCAAUCCCAGAAACCCGAUCGUAGUCGGAUCAUGAUCUGCAACUCGACUGCGUGAAGUCGGAAUCGCUGGUAAUCGCGGAUCAGCAUGUCGCGGUGAAUACGUUCCCGGGUCUUGUACACACCGCCCGUCACACCAUGGGAGUGGGUUUACCAGAAGUAGUUAGCCUAACCGUAAGGAGGGCGAUUACCACAUUAGGAUUCAUGACUGGGGUGAAGUCGUAACAAGGUAG
rnacentral:rRNA from 1 species